ACCAGCGGAGGGAUCAUUACAGAGUUGCAAAACUCCCAAACCAUCGUGAACGUUACCUAUAUCGUUGCUUCGGCGGGUGGCGGGCUUCGGCCCUGCCCUCGGCCCCUCGGGGGCCCGCCGGAGGUCUACCAAACUCUUGAACUUUAUGGCCUCUCUGAGUCUUCUGUACUGAAUAAGUCAAAACUUUCAACAACGGAUCUCUUGGUUCUGGCAUCGAUGAAGAACGCAGCGAAAUGCGAUAAGUAAUGUGAAUUGCAGAAUUCAGUGAAUCAUCGAAUCUUUGAACGCACAUUGCGCCCGCCAGUAUUCUGGCGGGCAUGCCUGUCCGAGCGUCAUUUCAACCAUCAAGCCCCCGGCUUGUGUUGGGGACCUGCGGCACACCCGCAGGCCCUGAAAACCAGUGGCGGGCUCGCUGUCCACACCGAGCGUAGUAGCAUAUCUUGUCUCGCUCAGGGCGUGCGGCGGGUUCCGGCCGUGAAACCCACCUUCUCGAAGGUACCCAAAGGUUGACCUCGGAUCAGGUAGGAAGACCCGCUGAACUUAAGCAUAUCA
rnacentral:rRNA from 1 species